CUUGGCACUGAACAUUGACCCUACAUGUGUAGGAUAGGUGGGAGGCUUUGAAGCACGUACGCCAGUAUGUGUGGAGCCGUCCUUGAAAUACCACCCUUGUAGUGUUGAUGUUCUAACGUCGACCCCUUAUCGGGGUUACGGACAGUGCCUGGUGGGUAGUUUGACUGGGGCGGUCUCCUCCCAAAGAGUAACGGAGGAGCACGAAGGUGGGCUAAUCACGGUUGGACAUCGUGAGGUUAGUGCAAUGGCAUAAGCCCGCUUGACU
rnacentral:rRNA from 1 species